rnacentral:rRNA from 1 species
UACAGAGGUCUCAAGCGUUGUUCGGAUUCAUUGGGCGUAAAGGGUGCGUAGGCGGCGCGGUAAGUCGGGUGUGAAAUCUUGGAGCUUAACUCCGAAACUGCAUUCGAUACUGCCGUGCUUGAGGACUGGAGAGGAGACUGGAAUUUACGGUGUAGCGGUGAAAUGCGUAGAUAUCGUAAGGAAGACCAGUGGCGAAGGCGGGUCUCUGGGACAGUUCCUGACGCUGAGGCACGAAGGCCAGGGGAGCAAAACGGGG